rnacentral:rRNA from 1 species
GACGUAGGGCGCGAGCGUUGUCCGGAUUUAUUGGGCGUAAAGAGCUCGUAGGCGGCUUGUCGCGUCGAAUGUGAAAACUCGGGGCUCAACUCCGAGCUUGCAUUCGAUACGGGCAGGCUAGAGUUCGGUAGGGGAGACUGGAAUUCCUGGUGUAGCGGUGAAAUGCGCAGAUAUCAGGAAGAACACCCGUGGCGAAGGCGGGUCUCUGGGCAGUAACUGACGCUGAGGAGCGAAAAGCGUGGGGGAGCGAACAGG